CGUGAGCGGGCGGGACGGGGUGGGAGUAACGCGUGGGUAACCCGCCUCAAGGGGGAGGGUAACAGUCUAGAAAUGACUGCUAAUACCGCAUAAGACCACAGUACCGCAUGGUACAGGGGUAAAAACUCCGGUGGUAUGAGAUGGACCCGCGUCUGAUUAGGUAGUUGGUGGGGUAACGGCCUACCAAGCCGACGAUCAGUAGCCGACCUGAGAGGGUGACCGGCCACAUUGGGACUGAGACACGGCCCAA
rnacentral:rRNA from 1 species